GACGAACGCUGGCGGCGUGCUUAACACAUGCAAGUCGAACGGUGAAUUUAUUUCGGUAAAUUCUUAGUGGCGAACGGGUGAGUAACGCGUGGGCAACCUGCCCUUCAGAUGGGGACAACAUCCCGAAAGGGGUGCUAAUACCGAAUACGAUCACGCUGCCGCAUGGCGGAGUGAUGAAAGAUGGCCUCUAUAUAUAAGCUAUCGCUGAAGGAUGGGCCUGCGUCUGAUUAGCUAGUUGGUGGGGUAACGGCCUACCAAGGCGAUGAUCAGUAGACGGUCUGCGAGGAUGAACGGCCACAUUGGGACUGAGGCACGGCCCAAACUACUACGGGAGGCAGCAGUGGGGAAUAUUCAGCAAUGGACGAAAGUCUGACGGAGCAACGCCGCGUGAGUGAUGAAGGUUUUCGGACUGUAAAACUCUGUUAUUUAGGACGAAAGUGCCUGUUGCAAAUAGUUGCAGGUAUUGACGGUACUGAACGAGGAAGCCACGGCUAACUACGUGCCAGCAGCCGCCGUAA
rnacentral:rRNA from 1 species